rnacentral:rRNA from 1 species
UACGUAGGUGGCAAGCGUUAUCCGGAAUUAUUGGGCGUAAAGAGCUCGUAGGCGGUCUGUCGCGUCGGCUGUGAAAACUCGGGGCUCAACCCCGAGCCUGCAGUCGAUACGGGCAGACUAGAGUGCGGUAGGGGAGACUGGAAUUCCUGGUGUAGCGGUGAAAUGCGCAGAUAUCAGGAGGAACACCGGUGGCGAAGGCGGGUCUCUGGGCCGUAACUGACGCUGAGGAGCGAAAGCGUGGGGAGCAAACAGG